CAUGCCUAACACAUGCAAGUCGAACGAGACCUUCGGGUCUAGUGGCGCACGGGUGCGUAACGCGUGGGAAUCUGCCCUGGGGUGCGGAAUAACUCGGAGAAAUCCGUGCUAAUACCGCAUAAUGUCUUCGGACCAAAGAUUUAUCGCCCUGGGAUGAGCCCGCGUAGGAUUAGCUAGUUGGUGGGGUAAAGGCCUACCAAGGCGACGAUCCUUAGCUGGUCUGAGAGGAUGAUCAGCCACACUGGGACUGAGACACGGCCCAGACUCCUACGGGAGGCAGCAGUGGGGAAUAUUGGACAAUGGGCGAAAGCCUGAUCCAGCAAUGCCGCGUGAGUGAUGAAGGCCCUAGGGUUGUAAAGCUCUUUUACCCGGGAUGAUAAUGACAGUACCGGGAGAAUAAGCUCCGGCUAACUCCGUG
rnacentral:rRNA from 1 species